GUGAUUGGUCAGACCAUAGAUAACAUAGAAGACAGCGAGCUAGCGUAUCUAGUCUGCUAUGUCUCUAUGGUAGGCACGUCUGGUAGCAUCUGUGGCUGCUGUUGAUCUUGUUUUUGGAGUAAAAUACGGUGGAAGCUGAAUUAGUGAGGAUGACUCCUGCUCCUGUCAUCUCUAAGCUCCUCACACAUCUUUACCUGCACAUGAGGAAAAUCACUCCUGUAGAAUGCAGUGGUUCAUCAGAACCUCUGGGGAUGUCCUGUGGAUUCUGUGGAUCCUGUGGGUUGCAGGGUGGGUCCUACCUAGACCAGGCUGAUCCUGGACCAUCCCACAGAUGCUCCAUCAGAUCUGGAUGUGGGGAGUGUGGAACCCAGGUGAACAGCUUAGCUCUGUCGUGUUACUCGGACCACUCCUGAACAGUUUAAUUUGUCCUGCUGAGGGAGGCAGCUGGCAUCAAGGACUGCUGUUGCCAUGGAGACUAGGGGGUUGUUUGUCCUGCAGUGUUUAGGUGGUGGUACAUGUCAAACAUCCACAUGAACGUCAAGGUUUCCUAGCAGAACGUUGCAUUAGAACAAGAUGAUGGAUGUUGUUCUCUGCAGCUGUCAGUGGUCAGAAUGUUGUGGCUGAUUGGUGGAUCUGUCUGCCUUUACUCUGACAUCCAGAGUUAUACAAAAGUGUAGUAUGUGUGCAGUGCAGAAGAGAUUUACUUUAUUGUAUGCAGUUUUAGUGGUGCAAUCAGAGAAAAUCAUAUCCAUAUACAGAUUUUUAUUAAUUCCAGGGCUGGUUCAGUACAGAUUGUAAUAACAACAUCAGAAUUUUUUGUCACAGUCGGAAUUUUGCAGACUGAGAGAUGGUUGAGAAGGUUUGCAGUUCUUGUUUUAUCAAAAUAUGUUACAAUAGAAGAUCUUUAUAUUCAUUGUACAUGAAAUUAUCUGCAAACCAGCAAAGUGUAUCAGUCUGAGGUAUCUAAAAAUAAAUAAGUAAAGAAAAAUGCUUCUAAAGCCAAUAAUAAACAGAAUAUUUUGAGGGAAUAUUCUAAAAAGGAAAGAAAAGCUCCAUUCUCACUCCUCUCAGGAUAAACUGUCAUUAAAAUUGACUUUAAAUUUAGCUUCAACACGAGAUAAAAACAUUUACUUUCAUUACUGAUGUUGUCAAGUUUUAAUAAAGUUCAUGCUACUUUUAUAAAAUGAUGAAAGUGAAUAAAUUGUAUUUCUGUGUUUGAUUUCUGUCUUUUCUCCUGUCAUCCAGAUGUUCAGAGGGAGAUGAUGCCACAUCUGGUCCAGCUGAUGGAAGGUCUUGAAGUUCUCUGACUGGCCUCGACUGAAGAUGGUCGUCUCACUGGAUUUAAGGUUCAGAUGCUCAGUAACAAACUCCACCAAUGAGCCAACAGGGAAGCUUUAGGUUUAUUAAAUGUUGCUAUGAAGGUAUCGCUGUUUUUCUUUGUGAAUGCAAUGUGCUCCAACUGAAACUUGAAUUAGAACUUAGAAGUAAAUCCUUCCAUCUGAAAGGAUCUAGAUGUAUUAAUAACCUCAUAACAUUUUAAUUUUUAUUCCAGUCUUGGUUGGAAAUAGAAUCUCUGUAUUGAUUCAGGUAAAAACUGAACUUCACAGCAUGUUGGAGCAAAACAACCAGAUGAAAACUGUGAUGGUGUUGGAUUGUCAGACCGUAAUGUUGCAGCUCAAAGCAGCUUUUCUAUCUCAGUUCAUUCUGACAUUCAGCUAUGAAUCAACACAGCAGAUGGUGAUCCAUGCUGUGGAAGUCUCACAUCUCCUGAUUUAAUGGAGCUGCUUUGCACUUUUUACACUGUUUAUUCACCAACACUUUAUUUAAUAAAAGUCCCAUCUAGUUUUUAUGAGGACUGUGAGGUUUUAAUUUCUCUGUGAAUAACUGCAGUCUAAUGUAACAGCUGGAGUUGUAACAUCUGUCCUGAUAUUGAUCAUGAAGUAUUGAUCAGAAUACUUAUGGUCAGCAGUCAUCCCUGAAGUUUUAUAUUAAAAUCUUUACUUGUGUUGUGAACUUUGGUAAGAAGCAGAAACUUUAGCGUUGCCAUGGAUACAUGAGUGUUAAAUUUUGUCCAUGUUUCCAUUUUGGGAAAUGCAGUCCAGCAGAUGAGUUUGUUUUUACUGCCAGCUACUAUUCAGUCUGAGAUAUUAAGAAUAAAUAAAUGUGCAUAAUGUGGAAAUGAACAGAUUUUAUUUUUAUUUAUUCCUACAGAAACAGUGUUCAUUUGAUGAACUUCAUUUCCUAAAACAUCCAGAAUUGGAGCUCAUAUCUUGGGGAGGUGUAAAGUUUCUGCUCCUUCAAAGUUCACAACACAAUGAAUGAAUUCCUAAUACACUCUCAAUGCUGGAGAGUGUUUGUGAUGCUGAAGCAGUGACCAGUUUUUCUGUUUCUUCUCUGGAGAUGCACAAUGAGGGACGUCUGCAGAGACUGAGAAAGAGUCUCACCACAUCCUGACAUGAAGAAAAAGACUUUAUUGAAGACUGCAAUGAGAAAAACUAUCAGACAGCAGACGGCUGCAUUCAAGGUGAGAUCUGAACAUUUGAUCUGGAACAGGAAUUCAAUAACGGCAGCAUGAGCUUCAUUUCAGUCUGUAGCUGCUGAAUUCAUGGAUGAAUCAUCUGGCACUAGAGAGGAAGACCAUCAAACAUCCACGUCAGCUGAUGGAGGUCCAAGAGUCUCACCGAACAAACAACCUACAGAGUGAAGACCUCAAAUCUGAUUGGACGGCCUCCUAUUCAGCCACGUGUGAACAAAUGCCUCUAAGUUGAUUUGUUUUCUAAAAUAAAUCUAGUUUGAGUCCUAA